rnacentral:rRNA from 1 species
UGGGGAAUAUUGGGCAAUGGGCGAAAGCCUGACCCAGCUAUGCCGCGUGAAUGAUGAAGGCCUUAGGGUUGUAAAGUUCUUUUAGAUGGGAAGAUAAUGACGGUACCAUCAGAAAAAGCUCCGGCUAACUUCGUGCCAGCAGCCGCGGUAAUACGAAGGGAGCAAGCGUUGCUCGGAUUUAUUGGGCGUAAAGGGUGUGUAGGCGGUUUGAUAAGUUAGAUGUGAAAGCCCCGGGCUUAACCCGGGAAUUGCAUUUAAGACUGUUGAACUUGAAGAUCGAAGAGGUAAGCAGAAUUCCCAGUGUAGAGGUGAAAUUCGUAGAUAUUGGGAAGAAUACCAAUGGCGUAGGCAGCUUACUGGUCGAAUCUUGACGCUGAGGCACGAAAGCGUGGGGAGCAAA